GGAGUUUUCUUGGUAAUUUUUCUCCAGGCUAGGACUGAGGAGUCAGCCUGAGGUUCAGCACCUAGAUUUCUGGAACAUAACAGAGUGUAAAUGAAAAUGUGGGCCAAGUCCAGUGGACACAGUCAGAAGUGGUCAAAUGGGAAGAAAUAAACCAGUUGCCUGGUUGGGAUGGUGCCACAGAGAACCAGUCACUGGAGAGUGACUUCCUAAGGCUAUUGUGAGGAUUCUCCACUCUUCCUGAAACAGCCCAGGGAAGGAGGGCAAGAGGACAUUAGCAAUGAAGCCAUGUAUUGAGGAGAGGAACUAUUGACAAUGAAGACCUUGGACAGAACCCAGAAGGAAAUUCUGCUGUCCACUGUGCUUCUUCCACUCUUUGGAAUCAUGUGAGAGCCUAAAAUCCUGGCCUGGAGAUGCAGUUACCUGCUUAAAGAAACACCAGAGUCAGAGCAAGAAGUGGAGAGAGAGUGAGGUGCAUGCAUGGAGGCAAGGAAGAUGGCGAAGAGCUUAGCUGGCAGUCACAAGUGUCCUGGUAGACAGCUGGAUGGGAAGUGAAACAUGG
rnacentral:lncRNA from 1 species